GCGGCACAUACAUAGAGCAUUAAAUAUAAAUGAAAAUAAAAACUAAAUGCAUAAUUUAUUUGUAAAUCGUGAGAUAAAUCUUUUAAACAUAUUUACUCUAUAAUUAAAUAAUAUUUAUUAAAUAAAAAUAAACGUGCUACAGAAUUAAAAUUCAAAAACUUUUAGACGUGAACAAGGCCUAAAUAUCAACAAUUAACAUCAGCUUUAAAUGGUUUGCUGCUGCGGGGCGGGCCUUUAGCCGUUGUCUGGUCUCCUUCAGUCCUGCCACGAUCUUAUCCACAUCCCGUAACUACAGUGAAUGGCAAUGCAUGCUCCCUUUUUUUUUUUUUGAGACUGCUCCUAUUUUUCUGUCUCUUUUCCUUUCCUUUUUUUGUGAUUACUGUUACCGUCAUGCUCUGGACCAUUUUGACCAGCUCAUAUGAUUCUUUUUUGUGAUUACUUGGUCCUUCAUAGAAAAUACUAUACUAUAUAUUGAUAUUAUAUCUUAAAUAUGUUACAUUAUUAUAAAAGUACCCCUCUAACACAUUCUCUCCACUCAAUGACAUGUGGGCCCAUGAAUUAAUCCGCAUACUCUCAACAUCUGCUGACCUUCUCUGCCAUGGGCGCGGUACCAACUGGCACAGUUUUUCCAAGCAUCGAAGGCGAUGACCUCGCCGAAGGCGGUGUCCGUGACAACAACAGAAGCGACCCCCUCAAACAUCACCGGACAUGGGGCACAUGACCUCGGGGAAAAGCACGGACGUGGUAGAUAUGUGUCCACGGCUUGGCGCGCAGAUGCUCUGCGAACUCUCCACCGACACCCACACGAACUCCCCUCCGCUGCUGGCCACGCCCCCCAGCAUGCCGCCCUACUAAACCAGCCCUACCUAGCCCGAUGUACGGACUCUCUCUCGCCGCAGGCCAUGCACCCAGCACAUCCCGUGCACCCCCGCGCCCCCACAUCUGCCCUAGCCGCCGCACACAUGCGCCCUAGCCCGCCAUGCGGACUCCCCC
rnacentral:lncRNA from 1 species